rnacentral:rRNA from 1 species
UGCUACCAUGCAGUCGAACGGAGAAUCAGCAAUGAUUCUUAGUGGCGAACGGGUGAGUAACGCGUAGACAACCUGCCUUCUAGAUGGGGACAACACUGCGAAAGUGGUGCUAAUACCGAAUGUUGUAUUAAGCCUGCAUGGGCUUGAUACUAAAGGUGGCCUCUAUUUAUAAGCUAUCACUAGAAGAUGGGUCUGCGUCUGAUUAGCUAGUUGGUGAGGUAAUGGCUCACCAAGGCGAUGAUCAGUAGCCGGUCUGAGAGGAUGAACGGCCACACUGGGACUGAGACACGGCCCAGACUCCUACGGGAGGCAGCAGUGGGGAAUCUUCCGCAAUGGACGAAAGUCUGACGGAGCAACGCCGCGUGAGUGAAGAAGGUUUUCGGAUCGUAAAGCUCUGUCUUUGAGGACGAAUGUGUCUAAUGUGAAUAAUGUUAGAUAAUGACGGUACUCGAGGAGGAAGCCACGGCUAACUACGUGCCAGCAGCCGCGGUAAUACGUAGGUGGCAAGCGUUGUCCGGAAUUAUUGGGCGUAAAGCGCGCGCAGGCGGGAUAUUAAGUCUGUUUUAAAAGUUCGGGGCUCAACCCCGUGAUGGAAUGGAAACUAAUAUUCUUGAGUGCAGGAGAGGAAAGUGGAAUUCCCAGUGUAGCGGUGAAAUGCGUAGAUAUUGGGAGGAACACCAGUGGCGAAGGCGACUUUCUGGACUGUGUCUGACGCUGAGGCGCGAAAGCCAGGGGAGUGAACGGGAUUAGAUA